rnacentral:lncRNA from 1 species
AAAUCACACAUCCACUAGACAAUCAAACACACAAGAUCACAAGGUACAUGAACAACAAAGGGAAAGAUACAAGGUAAGGUUCAUCUCCAAGAGGAGGUCUUGAUGAUAUCCUAGAUGGAUCUUCCCACAAGGGGGUCUUGAUGAUAUCCCGCGGGAUCUUCUCCUAGAUGGAGGUCUUGGCCUCCAAGGGAGUAGUGGUCUCUCUCUCUCUCAAGAGUAGAGAUAGGUAGGAGCAAAGCUCACCUAAGAAUGAGCUAUCACUUUGCUAACCCUAGAAAGGAGGUGGAGGAGGUCUAUUUAUAGCCCAAGGGGCGAAGGGGUAAGUGAGGGGCGAAGGGGUACACGGGCUUCGGCCCAAGUCACGCACGCAGGCGGGGUCCGGAUGAUCCGGAUGGUGGCCCGGAUGAUCCGGGUGUCGGGGGUCCGGAUGAUCCGGGCGACCGUCCGGAUGAUCCGGCUUCAUCGAGCAGGUUCUGUUGUCUUCGGGCACGGUAGCCGGAUCGUCUGGGAGGUCGUCCGGAUCAUCCGGGCUUGGUCCGGAUCGUCCGGCUGGGGGUCCGGAUGAUCCGGGCAACUCCAGUCCUGCUCCAUUCUUCUUCUUUCUUUCUUCCGUCUUCUCUUUCACGCUUCCCUCGCGGAUGGUGUAGUCGUUCCUUGGCGCUUGCACUCCUCCUUGACAUCCGUGAAGCUCUGACAAUACCUAUGCAUGCACACGUAAGGAGUGUCAAGUAGUAUACCAUCCUCGAGAGUGUCAAGUGAGCACGUGUAAAGGAGAUAAUUCACCUUUGUGUAUGUGAAGUAGAUGUCGCACGUGUCACUUGCCAAAUGGGCUCUUGACGUCGUGAUGUCCGUAGGAUGCUCCGCAUCAUCCCCUCCCCCUUGGGAAAGAUCCGACCUCGGAUCGAAAUCCAAAUCACCAUGGGAAAGAGUUGAUGUCAUCGUGUAGAAGUGGACGAUCACCAAGCAUUCGUCAUCUUGUAGUUCCAAAUGGGCACUCUCCAAUGUCGCACCGUCUUGUAAUUCCUUCAAAAGUAGCAAAGAUAACAAGCACUUGGAAAAACAAAUGUGGUUGUCGUCAGAGCAAAACCAAGCAUUCAAGAGGUGAUUCACCCAACAAGUGUUGUCAUCAAGCAUAGCAUAUGGUUUGACAAAGAAGUGUGACAUGGCAUUUGAGCAUAUAAAUUGAGCACAAUCAAGUAUAUCAUGAGAACAAGCAUGCAAAUGGGAGGUCAAGAUGCAAAUAUAUGUGAUAAGUGAACAAGCAUCUACCUCAAGGUCAUAGCAAGCAUGCAUAAAGAGCUCAAAGAACGGUCUAUGGUAGGCAUAAGAGUCAUUCACAACACCAAAUAUAGUGAAAUGUCUAAACACAUGGGGCAAGUGCAAGACAAUCCAAGCAUAACGUGCAUAGGGUGUCAUGAAGAUAUCGUGGCACUCAACACAAAGGAAAGAGCAAUUGUUCAACAUGUGUGAGGCAUGAGCAUAUAUGUCAUCAACCCAAGAAAGCAAGUAGUGGAACAUGGGUGAUGCAAUAUAGAGAGCAUUCAUAGCUAUCAAAUCAAGCAAGCUAGUAGUGCGAAGAUGCAACAUACUAGGAGGAAUCAUGGUAAACAUGUCAUUGGUGCAAAUAGUGGGCAUGAAUAAUUCACAAGUCAUAGCACAAGCAUGAAAGCAAGAUAUGAGUACAAUCUCAUGAAUGUAUUGGCGAGAGGCCAUAUGUGAAUAGCAAUGGGUCAUCAUGACUCUCCCAACACAACAAGCAUCAAUAGAAUGGGGCACAUGAUAAACAUGGCAAAAGCAACAAGGAUCUCCACCAAGCAUGCAAAUACAUAUAGCAAUAUCAUAAUGGAGAAUCAUGGGUAGAUGCAAACAAGGGUCACAAUUGCAUGGCAAAGGCAUAGAAGCAAGCAUAGCAUGCAAAGUGAACACGGUAAAAUGAGCAUAAUGUGAGAAAUGGUAAAUGGCCCAUAGCCGUGUGAGAGCCAAGUAGAGGAGUUGCGCGUAGUCCUUGCGCGAAGGGAACGGUGGUAAGGAUAGUCCACGGGAUCCCAAGUCAUCAUUGCUCUCUAGAGCUCGUUUUGUCAACUCGUGGGAUUGCGAGGUUGACAAGUAUUCAUAGGUACCUACACAAAAGAGACACAAACGAAAGAAAUUGUGUGUGUGGUAAAUGUACACAUCAUCCAUCAUGAUGUGUAUGUGCACGUGUGAAUUAGCACAAGAUAAGCAAUGCUCAAAGAAAUUUGAGGCAUGGUAUAUGAACAUGUCAUCCAUCAUGAAAGAAUAGUUGUUAUGUAUGACACGAUGGGGACACAAAUUGAGCAAACAAGUAUAUGGCACAUCAAAAGCAUGUUUAUUCAUGGGGAGCAUAUGGUGCACACAAGUAUGGGGAUCAUGCAAUGAAUGGGGUGGAUCAAAUUCCUCUAACAUGUAUGAUGAAACUAUGGGGGUCUCCUCAUGAGCAAUAUCGGAAACAUCAUAUGGAGAAAAUGGACAACAUCCAAAACAAUGCAUAUCUGAAGCUAGGUGGUCAUGGCAUGGCAUAUGAGAUAAAUGAUGCAAAGGGAGCAUAUCAAUAUCAUCGCAAGAGAAACAAAUGCCAAUAACCAUGGGCUUGUCAUCUAUGCCAUAUGUGCAAAUUGGGUUUAUUUUAAUGGCAUAUGCAUAGUCACUACAAUGAGAUUGCAAAUAUGACAUACGGGAGAUCUCAUGCAUAGCAUAUGACAAGUCAAGCGGAUCAUCAAACAUGAUGUGACCUAAAGAAUUGUCACAAGAAAUCCUAUGUAACAUGGCAUCACAACUAAUAGACUCCACAAUAGAAUCAUCAUACUCAUCAUAAAUGGGCAAAUCAUCGCAUGGGGAAAUCAUACUAGCAUGAAGCAUGGCAAUAGGUGGAUCAACAUCAUGCAAGCAAUCAAUGUCAAGAAUGUCCACUAGUGGGACUAGAGCAUCACCUUCACCUAUGUUACCUUUGUUAUUCCACUCAAGUGGUGUAGGUGAGGUGGGAAAGACCAAAUGGUGGUCAUCAUUAUCAUCUUGAUGGAACCAUGUGGGCGGUGCAUCAUAUUCCACCAUGGCCACCGUCUUGUCCAAAGGGAGGACGAAGUCGUCGAGGAUCGGCGCGUCAUCAUAAAUGGGACCUAGCACCAAACGAGAAGACAUAAUAGAGGUAGAGGUCAAGUUGUUAGAAAUGCAAAUGGCCUCACGAGACCUAUCAACUAUCUCACUCUCUCUAUGUGGUGGUUCACUCACUCCCUCAAAAUAGGUGCACUCAAACUCACGUAUGGUUGAGUCACUCAUCUCACUCAAGUGGUGGGGGUUGUGGCUCUCCUCACAUGGGAAUUGUGGCAACUCAUCAUGUAUGGGGCUAGUGGUGAAGUCACUCUCACUCUCAAUAUGGUGGCACAAGUCACUCAAGUCAUCAUACGUCGCCGUGGUCGAAGGGAAGAUCCCAUGCUCAACCAUCUCGUCGUGGUCGCCGUGGAUGAAGGCCGAAGAUAGCACAUCAUCACUCUCGUCGUGGAUGAAGGCCGAAGAUGGCACAUCAUCACUCUUGCCUCCUAAGAUGGAAGCAUCAUCCUUGCUCGCCACCUUGUCGCUCGCCUCCAAAGCUUGGUCCUUGGGAGCAUCGUCCUGGAGCUCGUCGGGCUUGGACAUCUUGGUGGUACUAGCCUCAUGCUUGUCGUAGAGCUUGGUUGCCGCGAAGUUUGCUUGGGGUGGAGAAGCCUUGGCCUUCAUGAGUUCUUGUUCCGCCUUGAGAGCACCAAUGUAGUAGUCGUCGAUGGACUUGUAGUUCUCGAGGAAGAUGGUCUUGGAGAUGUCGUUGUGCAAUCCCAUCAUGAAGUGGAACUUCAUCGAAAUGGGGUCGUCCACGCCGGCUCGUCGCAAGGAAAUCAUCAUCUCCUUGAAGUACUUGUCGAUGGACUUGGAUCCUUGGGUGGUGUACUCCAAUUGGCGUCGAAGUUGUUCCGUGUAGGUUGGAGGCACAAACUCUCGCUGCAAAGCUUUCUUCGUCUUGGGCCAACUCAUGUCGUAGUACUCCGAAGGUGUGUGAAGCCACUAUGCCAAUGAGUAGUCGUGGAAGUUUCUUGGCGCACUUCACUUGAUCUUCGGGACCAACUUGAUGUAGCUUGAGGUAGUCGUCCAUCAAACGCUCCCACUCGAGGUACUCCUCGGGUUCUUGAGUCCCAUAGAAAGGAAUCGCAUGGUCGAUGUCGAGGUCGUAGUAGCUCGUGGAAGUCGAGGACUUGAGCUUGGGUAGCUUCUCUUGAGUGUAGUCUUGAGGUUCUUGUUGGCGAAGAUGCCGUAUGUCCGUAGGCGAAGAUGCCUUGAAGUCGCUUGGCGAAGAUGCCAAGGGAGAUGGUGAAGUCGUUGAGCGGUUGUUGGUGUUGAGCUCUUGACCUUCACGUUCUUGUUGGUGAUGGUGUCGAUGUCGAUGUGAUCUUGCCGGAGGUGGUAGCUCGGAAGGAUGUGCUCUUGAGCGUCUUCUCGAAGAUGAGGAAGAUCGCUUGUAGGACUUGAUGAGGGCCUUGAUCUCCUCCAUGCGCUUGUCCAUCUUGGCGUUGUAGUUGUUGUUCAUGGCAUCGAACUCGUCGUUGUUGUUGUAGACCGAAAGUGAAAUGCCUUGCCUAUCCAUCACAAGACUCGAGUAGAGGUGAGUAGGAAAUGAGAUAAACAAUACCAAGUUACCUUUUCCCAAAGUUGAGGAUGUAUCCCGUGUCACUCAAUGUGAGAUGAAAGAAUAGUGGAAUUGGUACCGGACUUGUUCACUCACACCUAUCAAGUAAAGCUUAUGGUAGAGCUCGGUGAGGAUAGUGGCACAAAAAUUUAAUGCAAAAUGUUAGCAAGAGUCAAUAAUGUUGAAAAAGAUUCACAAAUUCGCAAGUGAAACAAGUAGACCAAUAGCAAUGAAAGGUACACGGAAACACACACACGGAUAGAUAAAUGGGGUCGUGCAACCAAGGAAUGAGCACAAAAUGUGGAAUCCACGGAAAACGCUCGUGUUGCACAACUCAAGAGAGACGCUAGCACGAUUGCUCAAUAGGCGGAUACGACACUUGUGCACAACCUAUAAGAUGCAAAAUGGAUAUACUUCUAUCCCAAGUAUGCUAUGUAUGUAUGGUUCCCGGUGUUUCUCUCAAGCAUGAUAUCAUAGGAUGUAGAGUUUGGUAUGGCUCUUAUUUGCAAUGGGGUAUGAUGCUAUGGCACUUGCUCACGAGCUCUUUGCUCUCUUUUUGCUUAAAAGCUUUUUCUCUUUUUUUUUCUAUGGACACUUUUGCACAAUGCACAAACCAAGAUAGCAAUUGUGUAUAUGCGGGAACAAACUUCAGGCACACUGGAUGAUAUGAACCAAGAUGAUAUGGUAUGUAUGCAAUGGAUGGUGGAUCACUAAUGUGCACAAGUAACGUUGCCGGCAAUACUCAAAUGGCUAGUCUCGAUAGGUAAGUGACGCAAAAUGGGCUAGGGGUUAACAAUGCAAUUGCAAGGGAAUAUACAAAGGUGUCGUCGAGGUUACCGUCCUUUGCGAUGAUGAGUGGCGGUGUUCUUGGUGUAGAUACCAAGAUGAUGGAGACUCGUCCCUAAGUAGCCGAAACACCUUAGGAAACGGAAAAACCGCAAACUCAAAAUCUCAAACGACAAAUGUCAAAUGGUGGUAGCGGAAAGCGGUGGUGGUGUUGCACUAGGCAAUGCGGAAGUGGAAUGAUGGGCUAUACACGAGUCGGAGUUGAAUUUGUCGUCCCUAAGUAGCCGAAACACCUUAGGAGACACAAGCCACAACUCAAACAAAAUUGGGUUAAGUUGGGGUGGAAAUGUAUGGUGGGCACGUGUAUGCAGAAGUGGUGGUGGUGGUUGAUGAAGAAGCAAUUGUCCCUAAGUAGCCGAAACACCUUAGGAGACUCUAGUCACAACUCAAACAACCACAUAUGCAAUGGGGAACAAAAUGGGUUAGGUUGCGGAAGUCGGUGGUGGUAAUACGGAUGAUAUGGUGGAGGGCCUAGGCAAACUUGCCAAAUUUCAGAAAAUAUGAUGGAGUCAAAUGAUGUUGGUGGUAUUUUUGUGGGAUAGGGGAUGUCAAUAGCUUCAAAACGAUCUAAAGAACGUCAAAAACGGAGUUCGGAUGAAUUAGUUACGGCCGAAACAAAAAUCUGUCUGUGUCAGUUUCAGGGUUAACCGGACAUCCGGGAGGAGGUCCAGAUGAUCCGGGCUUGGUCCGGAUGAUCCGGGUGUAUAGCCGGAUGAUCCGGGUUCGUCAGCGCCGGUUCUGUUUUCUGGGUGCUUGGGGUAUCCGGACGUCCGGGGGGGCGUCCAGCUGAUCCGGGCUUGGUCCAGAUGAUCUGGGAGAAGGUCCGGAUGAUCCGGGCAAGUCAAUCCGCUCGGGAUUUGCUCUCGGGGGCGAAUUUUUGGGCGGAAAUGGAUGAUUUUUGGGGCAAAAUUUGAGGGAUUUCGUGGAUGGAACGUGGGGAAACUUGGGGAAAUGCUACAUCCACUUGAAACCAAGCAAAUCCACGGAUCAAAAUCAACAAAACAUCAUCAAACCAACAAAUCACAAAAAAAUUUGGGGCUAUUUUUGGUGGGGAUUUUCGGAUUUAGGACGAAAACAACAAAAUCAAGCUAGAAAAAGAGGGGUAGGGGCUCCAAAAACGUGAUCAACGUGGCUCAUGAUACCAUAUGAUGUAGGGUGGAACCCUAUAGCGACGAUCUUUCACGUUUGGAGUGGGAUCCCUCGAAGAACACGAUGAACACGGGGAAGAACGGGGAGAAAUCACAAGGGGAAACACUCAAGAACAAGCCCAAAUCACACAUCCACUAGACAAUCAAACACACAAGAUCACAAGGUACAUGAACAACAAAGGGAAAGAUACAAGGUAAGGUUCAUCUCCAAGAGGAGGUCUUGAUGAUAUCCUAGAUGGAUCUUCCCACAAGGGGGUCUUGAUGAUAUCCCGCGGGAUCUUCUCCUAGAUGGAGGUCUUGGCCUCCAAGGGCGUAGUGGUCUCUCUCUCUCAAGAGUAGAGAUAGGUAGGAGCAAAGCUCACCUAAGAAUGAGCUAUCACUUUGCUAACCCUAGAAAGGAGGUGGAGGAGGUCUAUUUAUAGCCCAAGGGGCGAAGGGGUAAGUGAGGGGCGAAGGGGUACACGGGCUUCGGCCCAAGUCACG